GGGGCCAGGAGGUAGAAAGGGAAGCCUGGUGCAGAGAACACUCAGUAUGGCUUACCUCUGCUGAAAAACUAGCUUCCAUGAGGGCUUGAGAGAGCAUCUUGGAGAGACAACAUUGACAUCCAUGGGCUUGUCUCCAGCACAGAGCUGCUGCAAGUGCUGGCUCCUGCUAAGCUGUGGUCGUCUGGGCUGGGAAAAGAAAGUCUCUUCUCAUGAGAAAAUUCACCCCUGGUGUGGCUCUAUGGAGAGCAGUGGAGUUGCAGCGGAGAAGGACUUGGCCCCUGGAAGGCUCUGGGCCAGGACUUGCUGUCUCAGUGCAAUAGCUGGAAGAAGAAACCUUGUUAAGAGUUGGAAGCUUUUAAAAUGAAGUCCUGGUUCUGUUCUCCACUCUAAUGUCAUUCUUUGCAGUUUACUACAUUUAGAUGCAUUUCCCAGCAAGGCACCUGAGAAGAUGUUGGCACAUUACUGCUUAGUAAUACUAAGUUUUCUUAAAGCCUUGAAUACCUCUGCUGUGUUCCAGGUUGGCUACAAGUGUCCAGUUCAGCCCAUGCUGGUGGUACUGGUGGCAGAGCAGCUCAUGUGGCAGGGACAGCAGCCAUGAACAUAAUGAACUACUCAAAGCUUGGUGGUUUAAAUUUGUAUUAGUAAUAUCUCUCAAUCUCAAUCUGUCUCUUUCCUACCCCCCCUUUCAACAUGAAUCAAUUAUUCCCAGAGUUCAGAUGCUGGCACCACUCCUUGUGUAGUGGCAAGCACAGCAUUUAACCUCUUUGGUGUUUUAGUGUCAGGGUUUGCAGUGAGGGAAUAUGUGGGGGUUGUAUUUUGCAGUUCAGCUUUGUGCCCAGUCCAAGGCUGGGGCUCUGUGGUGCUCUCAUCUCAGAGAGCAUCCCACUCUGAGCCUGUGCUUGGCUCAUGUUUCUGCCAUGGGCUUAAACAAAACUCCAGGGCAUAAUAUGCUUCAGUAAAGUUCUGGUUUGUACCCAAACCUUUCAACUUCUGUCGAGUGGGAAAUAUUUUUGUAGCCUCUCGGAGCGUGAAUGUUUUCUUGACCAUGAAAAAAAGUGUGGUGUGGUUUCCUUGAGAA